CCCUUAGAUGUCCGGGGCCGCACGCGCGCUACACUGAAGGAAUCAGCGUGGCUUUCUCCCUGACCCGAAAGGGUUGGGAAACCCGUUGAAUCUCCUUCGUGAUCGGGAUUGGGGCUUGAAAUUGUUCCCCAUGAACGAGGAAUUCCCAGUAAGCGCGAGUCAUAAGCUCGCGUUGAUUACGUCCCUGCCCUUUGUACACACCGCCCGUCGCUACUACCGAUUGAACGGGUUAGUGAGGGCCUCGGAUUGGUCUCGGCCCGCUCUUUACCGGGCGGCGCCGUUGGUCGAGAAGACGCUCGAACUUGAUCGUUUAGAGGAAGUAAAAGUCGUAACA
rnacentral:rRNA from 1 species